GAAGUAAAAGUCGUAACAAGGUUUCCGUAGGUGAACCUGCGGAAGGAUCAUUAUCGAAUUAUAAGCGAGGGUUGUAGCUGGCCUCCCUUUCGAGGCAUGUGCACGCCUGAGCUCUUAAAUCCACAACACACCUGUGAACCCACCGUAGGCCUUCGGGCUUAUGUAUCAUAUACUCUGAAUGUGUCAUAGAAUGUUCAUGUUGCCUUAAAACGCAAUCAAAUACAACUUUCAACAACGGAUCUCUUGGCUCUCGCAUCGAUGAAGAACGCAGCGAAAUGCGAUAAGUAAUGUGAAUUGCAGAUUUUCAGUGAAUCAUCGAAUCUUUGAACGCACCUUGCGCUCCUUGGUAUUCCGAGGAGCAUGCCUGUUUGAGUGUCAUUAAAUCCUCAACCCCACCGAUUUGCUUCGGGGGGAUUGGACUUGGAGCGUGCUGGCGAAGGUCGGCUCCUCUUUAAAUGCAUCAGCGGAGAAGAAAGCUCGUCCCAGUGUGAUAAUCCUGUUGCGCUGUGGUGGGGUGAAAAUUCCGCUUCCAACCGUCCUCCGGGACAAGACAUCUCAAUUUGACCUCAAAUCAGGUAGGACUACCCGCUGAACUUAAGCAUAU
rnacentral:rRNA from 1 species